CUGGGAAUGUUCCUGAUGAACAGACUUGGACACCAGCUGGUUGUCGUUCUCAGCAGCAGGAUGAUCAACGGGAUUAGGCUGACUGGUUUUCUCACCUUUGGAUGGAUUUGCUGAAUGUCUUGAAAGACGGUCAAGAGGAGUCACAACAACCAGAGCGUCCUAUUUAUCUGAUGAUGAGCAAUUGCUAAGGUGAAACGCACACUGUUGAAGUAAAAGGUGGUGCAACAUAACAGGCAUGCAGAAGUAGGUGUAGCUUCUUUUAAAAUAACUUCAACAAACAUCCUGCGGCCAAGUGCAGAUUUGUAAAGAGAGGUGUAGACUGACCUUAGUUUACCUUUUGUUUUUUCUUGGCAUUUUGUAUGGGGAGAAAAGAUCUUGAACACAUUUUUUAGAGUGGCAAAGUAAUUAGACACAUUUUAACCUUGUUACAUGUUGGAUGCAAUUAAAAAAACAGGACAAGGAGAUAAAAAUCAAUAAAAGACAAUUUAUUUAAAGACAUUUACACUUAAUCAGGCUUCCCACAGAUGAUUUAAGGAUUAGGCCAAUUGGGACAGGAAUGAGUUAGAAAACAGAACUAAAAGUGUAAAGAAAGUUCUCACUAUAAGAGUUUAGAUCGAGCCUUCGAAAAUUCAGCAUGGUCCAAGCCCAAAGUAAAACCCUACAUAUUAUUGAAAAGUCAGACUUCUAUCUAGCAGUUGAACUUUUUUUCCCUUUUGUUUAACGUCUUCUAACUCUGUUUUGUUGGUCCUGAUCAAUGUCAUUGAUAAUACAACUUCCCAUGUUUUGUGAUCAUUAAGCUUUCUUUCAUUUAGUGUUCUUUUCAAUAUAUUCAUUUUCAGAGGACCCACGUGUUCUGAACGCAAAAAGAGUGGGUGUAAUACUUGCAUCUGGCCACUUGAUGGUGACAUUCAGCCAUAUUGUUGAAUGUCAGAUAAAGGAAUUUCCUUUUUUUUU